rnacentral:rRNA from 1 species
AUUGAACGCUGGCGGCAGGCCUAACACAUGCAAGUCGAGCGAGCGGCGCACGGGUGAGUAAUGUAUGGGGACUGCCCGAUAUAGGGGGAUAACUACUGUAAACGGUGUCUCAUACCGCAUACUGUCGGAUUACCCAGAUGGGAUUUGCUAGUAGGUCAGGUAAUGGCUUACCUAGGCGACGCGCCCUAGCUGGUCUGAGAGGAUGAUCAGCCACACUGGGACUGAGACACGGCCCAGACUCCUACGGAGGCAGCAGUGGGGAAUAUUGCACAAUGGGCGCAAGCCUGAUGCAGCCAUGCCGCGUGUAUGAAGAAGGCCCUAGGGUUGUAAAGUACUUUCAGUCGGGAGGCGUUACCGACAGAAGAAGCACCGGCUAACUCCGUGCCAGCAGCCGCGGUAAUAC